GUGACAGGUGCUGCAUGGCUGUCGUCAGCUCGUGUCGUGAGAUGUUGGGUUAAGUCCCGCAACGAGCGCAACCCUCGUCCUUAGUUGCCAUCAUUAAGUUGGGAACUCUAAGGAAACCGCCGGUGAUAAGCCGGAGGAAGGUGGGGAUGACGUCAAGUCCUCAUGGCCCUUACAAGCUGGGCUACACACGUGCUACAAUGGCGAUGACAGUGGGCAGCUAUCCCGCAAGGGUGAGCUAAUCUCCAAAAGUCGUCUCAGUUCGGAUUGUCCUCUGCAACUCGAGGGCAUGAAGGCGGAAUCGCUAGUAAUCGCGGAUCAGCAUGUCGCGGUGAAUACGUUCCCAGGCUUUGUACACAGCGCCCGUCACACCAUGGGAGUUGGUUUCACCCGAAGGUGGUGCGCUAACCCGCAAGGGCUUUCCAUUAAAACGCGCGGUGGGAUCAGCGAUUGGGGUGAACUCUUCCUUUCUUUUUAAUGAUCCC
rnacentral:rRNA from 1 species